AUACGAUAAAUCAGCCUUUUGAGGAAUGUUUACUUGUGCAUCUCUCAAUCAUCAUUAUAUUGCACUGCAUUAUACAGUAUUUUUGAAACUACAGAGCUUUGAUUAUAAAAUUAUGCAUUUAAAUUUCAUUUUACUAAUACAUAUCAUUGGGAGAUAUAGAGUGAAAUCUCAUUAGUAUACUGUACGUAUUUUUUUAUGUAAGUAGUCUGCUAUACUAUUAUAAAGAUCUCAUUGACAUACAAGAAGAAUUCCAUCUUACUUUUUGGCUAUAAAAAUAAUAACAUCUGCAUAUUUUUGCUCAGCUUGGGCUUUGAAAUAGACUUAAGAGUGUUUUUUUUUUUUUUUUUUUUUUUUUUUUUCUCGAAUGUGAGUUCCAUAUCAUCACUAUAUUAUAGUAGUCACUGUAGCCUGAUGUAUAAAAUAUCUUUAAAAAAAGAGAUCUAAAAAAAGAUUUAUCGGCCUAGAGGUUCAAUAAACUGUUCCUUUUAAAAAAAUAAAUAAAAAUAGAGAGAUUUUUCUGACUAUUAGUUCAUAUGUCAGACUUUACAGGGUUAAUGAUGCCCCCAAAUAUAAUAGCUUUUGUCACUGAAAAGUAGACUGUUUUCUUAAAGCUAAUGUAGCUAAAUGCAGCUACUAGUUGUUAGUAUUUUAAAAACUCUAAACUAUAAUCAUAUCUACUUUCUCUUGUCAUUUGCUCCGCAAUUCUUAGGGUUAUUUUAUAUGGAUUAGAUUACAUAUUUGGAAAAGCGUAUUAUUUGUGUGUGUGUGUGUGUGUGUGUGUGUGUGUGUGUGUGUGUGUGUGUGUGUGUGUGUGUGUUUGUGUGUGUGUGUGUGUGUGUGUGUGUGUGUGUGUGUGUGUGAGAUCAUUUCCAUUUACCGCAAUAGACUGAAACCAGAUGGCAGCCUUUCAUAAAAAUAAAAAAAAAUAAAAAAUUUGGAAAACAUAUUUAUUUGGGUAUAUGGAGCAAGUGAUUGCGGUGUUUUUGACAUGAGCUCUAUGCGGAGCAGUAAUAGAUGACAUUGUCCUUCAUCUGUGGUAUCUCAAUAGCCACUUUCUUCCACUGUUCUCUCUCUUUCACAUGGGGUAAGCGCUACGAGUAACAACGUGCUCUGUUCUGGUGGUGGGCUGGUCUGAUGUGGUCGUUCCGAUUCCUCUUACGCCCUUGUACACCACUGAGGGCCUCAUCUUACCAGAAAUGCCCUCUGCCUAAUGAGGGUCAAAGGUCAGCGAGCGGAGUGCCUUGAGGGGGCAGGAUCUCCCAGGCUCACUCAGUCACUGACUCUGGCCCUAUAUUUAAAUCAAGCCUCGGGCUCCCGGCUUCCACUCUCAAAGGCCAUUCUCUUAACUAGUUCCCGCUCGCUAAUUAGUUUUUGUGCCAUGUUAUUUGUCUCUCUGAGCUUGAACAGAGGAAGAGGCCAGUGUUAAAAAUUGCUGUCCUGAAAAGCCUCUUCUCUGCCUUGUCACAGACAAUAAGUGCAGCUACAUUGUUAUGAACCAGACCGUAUUUGAAGGAUACAUUAGCCAGGAAGAGAAAAUGAAUUAUGAGCAUUUUGUUUUCUUCGGCUUGGCCACUGCAGUUGCACUGUAAAUGCUCUUCCUGAAAUUAGAUAAGGACCUGGAAUUUGCCUUUGUUCUCUUUUCUUUCCCUUUUUUACCUAAGCUGCUUUUAGUAGUAUCGUUCCCAGCCGCAGAGCGUAAAGCACUCAUGAGUCAAACGGUUAUUGGAUUACAUUUUCUGGCUUCAUAAAAUGUGGUUAAGAGGCACUUUAGGCGUAUGUGCCUGACCUUCUUUCAGGGAGAUGGCAAUCAGACAAGAAGUGACAGGUCGAUCACUGAUUUCAGCUCCACUGUCAGAGCCACACCGUCUCGCCACGUCUCCUCUCCUCUUUUCUUUCCUUCUCUCCUCUCCUUCCGUUUAAAAGAAGUGUGAGUCACUGUGUUUGUGUGUGUGUGUGUGUGUGUGUGUGUGUGUGUGUGUGUAACAGGGUCUACUGUCCCAUCAAUCUUGAUCAAAAUGAAGGCUUGUACAGCAGAGUAACUGCUCUUUUUAAGAGAGUAAAAAUAUCAUCAAACAAGAAUGCAGUAUUUAUCAUCAUACAGCCAUCUGCCAAUUAUAUCAGAGUAAAAAAAUAUAUAUCUGUCUAUACAGAUGGGUGCAUAAGUCUGAGGCCACAUUGAGAUUUAAAAUCUAAUUUAAGUCUGACAAUAAAUAGCAAGUUUAAGGAUUUGUUAUGAUGAACCAUGAAUAAGAAAGAUUUCACCACCAGACUUUUUUUUUUUUUUAUCAGUUAAGCAAAUUUGUGGCAUUGACAGCUUAUUUGUACACAUGAUCAGAAGUUCUUGCUUCAAAUGAAGCACACAGUGGUCUUUGGAUCAAUCUCAAAUCAUGCUAGGUAAAAUCAGGUUUUGCACAAAUUUAUGGGGUUCAUUCAGCUUGAGUGCUACUGUCAUUAAAGAAAAAUAAACACCAAAUACUGAGAAGUUCUAAAAUAAUGUCGGUUUUUCUGUGAAAUCACUAUGCUUGUUAUUUAUUAUACAAUAAAAUGUAUAUAUUUAUCUAAUCGGAAUAUCAGAAUGCUUUGUGGAAUUCAGCUGCAAAAAUAAACACAUCACUGUAUCACUGUACAAAUGCAUUACAUGCAUAACUGAAAUAUUAUUUAUUUUUAUCUCUAAGGAAUGCAUUGCUUUAUAGGAUGUUAAAUGCUUUAUAAACAUAAAAAAAUAUCUGCACUGCUAUUUUAUUUUAAAUGUUUUUUGUUGUUUUAUUUGCUGCAAGGGAAUUGUUGAUUAUUAUCUACAGAAGAGACAAGCAAUGCUACAUAUUGUAAAUAUUGCAAUACAUAUAAAUAUGCAUAAAUAAGUACAAACAAACUGGCUUCUAUUACCCUGCAUAGAAUGAAAUUAGUAGAAAUUAAAUGCACUCCACCUAUUACAUAUUUCAAUAAAAGAUGUCAAAUCUGUCACAUAAAAACAAUUUCUCUCACUCAUGGAAUUAUAUUUAUUCUUAAUCAACUUAAUCAAACUUACAUGCUCUUUUAGAUGUAUAUGAAAAUGGAGAGGCUAAACAAGACAUGAUCAGACUUCCAGCAAAGUGAACUGUAAAAUGAAGACAAAUCCUUCAGAAGUCUUUGUCACAUUUGAAAAAUGCAUCUUUUGAUCACUAUAAUCUCACUGUGGAUUUGUACUCUCUAUUUUGGAAUACUUUAGGCAUGAUGGCAGGGGAAAUCUGCUGGUUUCAAUUUCGUUCUAUAAGCUUGGCUUCUGUGUGUUUGCAUGUAUGUAUAUGUUUUCGUGUGUAUGCACACAUGUCUGUUGGCGUCUUGGUACAGUAUGCUGUUUUGGAAAAGUGUGGUGGGGUCUGUGGUGGACUCAGAGAUACAGUGUUUAUGGAAAGGCCGCUGAAUAAACAGGGUUUAGUGGGACUUUCAGUGCAUCCAGCAUGAGAAGACAAAAACAGCAUUAACUGACAUUAACUGUUGGGGCAAGUGAUCACACUGCUGGCAGCUCACAGUUGUAGUCUAAACAGUGCAAAACAGAGACAGACACAAUCAAAAUGAGCUUUCCUGUUGUGUAGCUUCAUGCUGGGAGGUCCUGCUAAUUAUGACCAUUACUUUGAAAUACAGUGGGAUUUGUUACGUAUUUAUUCGCCUAGUAAUUUUACCACAGAAAUCAUAAAGAGGUGACCAGAAAUUAUUAGGGACAAAACAACAACUCUGUCAUCAUUUACUCAACCUUAUGUCAUUGCAAACCCAUAUGAUUUUCUCUCUUGAUAUUAGGAGAUGGAGAGUUAAGCAGGACAUUCUUGUUUCUUUUUUUUUUUUUUUUUUUCAUAGAAUGAAAGUGGAUGGUGACCAGGGGCUGUUAAGUUCUCAAAAUGACAAGAGCACCAUGAAAAUACCCUUACAGGGUGUGAUUUGUGUUCUCUAAAUUCCAAUCCUUUUGAAGUUAUAUGAUAUCUUUGGCUGAAGAACAGACCAAAAAGUCAUUAUUCACUGAAAAUUCUUGCCCUUCCUCUCAAAUUUCAUUCAAGCACAUAUUCAAAUUUGACUGGUUACAAGACUUUCGGCAUCACUGAUGUCAAGAAAAAAUGCGUGUACUGUUAUGUAUAUAAAUAUCAAAUAAAAUUUUAAG
ensembl:lncRNA